AGUGAACGCUGGCGGUAGGCCUAACACAUGCAAGUCGAACGGCAGCACAGUAAGAGCUUGCUCUUACGGGUGGCGAGUGGCGGACGGGUGAGGAAUACAUCGGAAUCUACUUUUUCGUGGGGGAUAACGUAGGGAAACUUACGCUAAUACCGCAUACGACCUACGGGUGAAAGCAGGGGAUCUUCGGACCUUGCGCGAUUGAAUGAGCCGAUGUCGGAUUAGCUAGGUGGCGGGGUAAAGGCCCACCAAGGCGACGAUCCGUAGCUGGUCUGAGAGGAUGAGCAGCCACACUGGAAAUGAGACACGGUCCAGACUCCUACGGGAGGCAGCAGUGGGGAAUAUUGGACAAUGGGCGCAAGCCUGAUACAGCCAUAACGCGUGGGUGAAGAAGGCCUUCGGGUUGUAAAGCCCUUUUGUUGGGAAAGAAAAGAAGCAGGUUAAUACCCCGCUGUUCUGACGGUACCCAAAGAAUAAGCACCGGCUAACUUCGUG
rnacentral:rRNA from 1 species